UUUAAUUGGAGAGUUUGAUCCUGGCUCAGAAUGAACGCUGGCGGCGUGCUUAACACAUGCAAGUCGUACGAGAACUCUUUAGCUUGCUAAAGAUAGUAAAGUGGCGCACGGGUGAGUAACGCGUGGGUAAUCUACCUCUGAAUCGGGGAUAACUCGCCGAAAGGCGAGCUAAUACCGGAUAAUAUCUAUUAAACUUAGGUUUUAAAGAUCAAAGGUGGUUUCUACAUGUAAGCUACUGUUUGGAGAUGAGCCCGCGUACCAUUAGCUUGUUGGUAAGGUAAUGGCUUACCAAGGCU
rnacentral:rRNA from 1 species